AGGUCAGUUAUAGAGAGGUAAAUGUGAAGGAUUUAGAUAAGGUAUUUCUGAGACAUACAUAGGUCAUUAGAUAGAAGACUUGUUAGUAAUGAGCGUCUAUUUUUGGGUUUUGUGCAUGUGAGAUUAAGUGCAUCGCUAUAUAAAUAAACUGGUUUUCUCUUUUAGGGGAUGAAAUUUUAGCUGUAAAUGGACAUGUUUGCCAUGACAUAUCACAUGCAGAAGCGGUCUUGCUAUUUAAAAGUAUCAAAAGCGGUCCAGUAGCAUUACAUAUUUGCAGAAGAACUCGAAAUAAGUCGAUGUCAACGAAAGCGAUGUCCUGCACGGACAUAAUACAGUCGUCAGUCAACCCAACGGCUUAAAAUGCACACCAAUGAAUAAUCUGAUUUAAAUUUUGUACAAACGUAUCAAGCAUAUAUUUUAAUAAAUUAAUAAUAUAAUACA